rnacentral:lncRNA from 1 species
GGUUUUCGAGGCAAACCUGGUGCUCCUGGACUACCUGGUGAUCCUGGUCCACGUGGGAUACAAGGCCCUAAAGGAUCCAAAGGAGAACAGGGUCAGAAGGGUAAACGGGGUCAGCAGGGAGAGCGUGGCAGCAGAGGCUCACCGGUAAGAGGACACAACUCUUUCAUUUUAGUAGUAGUAAGAAAUACAGGGCUAAUAUAAACUCAGAUUUCAAAGAAAUUAUCACUGCCAAAGUCAUGGAUUUAGUUCCCAAGCAGCAAACAGAC